rnacentral:rRNA from 1 species
AACACAUGCAAGUCGAACGGCAGCACAGUAAAGACUUCGGUCUUUAUGGGUGGCGAGUGGCGGACGGGUGAGUAAUGCGUAGGAAGCUGCCCGAUAGAGGGGGAUACCAGUUGGAAACGACUGUUAAUACCGCAUAAUGUCUACGGACCAAAGUGUGGGACCUUCGGGCCACAUGCUAUCGGAUGCGCCUACGUGGGAUUAGCUAGUUGGUGAGGUAAUGGCUCGCCAAGGCGACGAUCUCUAGCUGGUUUGAGAGGAUGAUCAGCCACAAUGGAACUGAGACACGGUCCAGACUCCUACGGGAGGGAGCAGUAGGGAAUAUUGGACAAUGGGCGAAAGCCUGAUCCAGCCAUGCCGCGUGAGUGAAGAAGGCCCUCGGGUUGUAAAGCUCUUUUGUCCGGAAAGAAAAGCGCCGGGUUAAUACCCUGGUGUCCUGACGGUACCGGAAGAAUAAGCACCGGCUAACUUCGUGCCAGCCGCCGCGGUAA